AUUGAACGCUGGCGGCAGGCCUAACACAUGCAAGUCGAACGAGUGGCGGACGGGUGAGUAAUGUCUGGGAAACUGCCCGACGGAGGGGGAUCACUACUGGAAACGGUAGCUAAUACCGCAUACCAUCGGAUGUGCCCAGAUGGGAUUAGCUAGUAGGUGGGGUAACGGCCCACCUAGGCGACGAUCCCUAGCUGGUCUGAGAGGAUGACCAGCCACACUGGAACUGAGACACGGUCCAGACUCCGACGGGAGGCAGCAGUGGGGAAUAUUGCACAAUGGGCGCAAGCCUGAUGCAGCAAUGCCGCGUGUAUGAAGAAGGCAUUCGGGGUGUAAAGUACUGUCAGCGGGGAGGCGUUACCCGCAGAAGAAGCACCGGCUAACACCGUGCCAGCCGCCGCGGUAAUAC
rnacentral:rRNA from 1 species